rnacentral:lncRNA from 1 species
AACCAUACAAAAUUUUUUAAUUACUUUAUUCUCCAUUGCUUCUUUUUUCGGUCCUUACUUCUUCUCCAUCUUUUCUUCCCAUCCCCGACACCAUUGCCUAUGCUUGAUCAACAUAUUUGACCACCGAAACGAAACUCUCUUCGCCUCUUUCAACUUCAAUUGUAAGGGCCCAAAUCCGUCCGGCCCAAUAAAUAAAACAACAAAACAAACAAAAUAAUAACUGAAGUCCAAAUUACGAGCCCAAUUUACGCUAACCCAAAUUUGCUAACUUAAAAACCUUAAAAGCCCAAAACCUAAAAACUAAACAAGAAAGCCUAACCACCUCUAAGCCUCCGGCUGUUGCCGCUCCUCUACCUUGGCCACAUCAGUAGGAGCGUCGCCCGAGGCCUGCCUCUCUCUUUCACCAAAAUGACAAGGCACGGCUCCUCAGCUCCGUUGACCUUGCCACAAAUGCUUGCAAAGAAAAACUAAACAAGAAAGAUGAUAGAAAUAGUAGAAAUAGCGAAAAAGAAAAGAAAAAAAUAUGUAAUCGGCUAUAAAAGCCAUAACAACAAGGUUGUAUUUUUUGACACAAGAGUUGAAAUAGAAAGAACAAAGAAAACAAAAAAAAGGUAGUUUAUUUAAAAAAACAUAAUAAAUAAAAAAUAAAAGUUCCUUUUUUACCUGUCGUUUCGCCUUCUGCCGCCGUCGGGGACUAUCUUCGACCCCCAAAUACCUCAAAGCCCACUAAGGUUCUGCCGAGGGUUCAACGAAUGUGGUAAGGCUGAGAGUUUUUUAUUUUCCCUUCUUUUUUUGAGGUUAGAAGGCAUUAGCCUUCGGAUCUGGGCUUUGGGAGUCAAAAGGGCUAAAAAAAUAAUUUUUUUUACAACUCCGGCUACCGGAGGCAACGGUCGCUGUCGUUGAUGACCGAUGGCCGCAGCGGAGGUGCGACGACCCUUGGCCAGACGGAGAGUGAGUUGAGAGAAAAAAAGAAAAGGGAAAGUUUUUUU